rnacentral:lncRNA from 1 species
GGAGGAAGUUCUCAGUAACAUGCAAGGCGUGCCCUACCGCCAUGAUUUGGAAAGUUUCACCAGUCUCUGCUUUGAGAAGACUUGAUCUGUCCCUGUGAUUUGGUCACAAUUGCCUUUGGACUGAGACACCACCAAAGGACAAUGGAUGGCCUGCACCCCCAGGAGCAGUCACCCGGGGUGCCUGUCUGGGAUGCUUUUUGGAACCCAUCCACCAUCUGAGAGAUAAUAAGAAGCUUCUCUAGGACUUGUGAUUUUGGUUUCAGCAGCUCCUUCCACGUUUGAGAAGAGUCUUCUCAUUUCUUACUCAUAGAACAUCCCAUCAGACAUUUCUCCUGAUCCACAUAGUAAUUCAGGGAUCCAGGCUUCUUCCAUAAGGUGAUUCAACCAUCUUCUAUGGGCUCAGAGUCUUUUGAAUCCAGGCAGAAGAGAGAAUAAGGAACUCGCACCUGCUUCUUGAAAGUCUUCACCCUAAAGUGACAUACAUCACUUCUGCUCUCAGUCCAUUGAACAUAACUUGUCUUAUGGCUUCAACUAGCUGCAAGGGCCUCUGGGAAAUGUAGUCCUGGUCUAGGCAGUCAAUAAACAUCCUGCUGGCUCUGCCACAGAAGGCCUUUCUAAGAUGUUCUUUGAGCUGAGACGUGAGAGCCAAAGUGUGAGAGCUACUUGAAAACUGUGAAAAUGGAGUUCCCAAAGUGGGAACAGCAAGUGGAAAGACCCUGAUGCUGGAAUGUGCUCAAAGGAACAGUAAGAAAUGAGCUUCUGGCUGGGCGUGAUGGCUCAUGCCUGUAAUCCCAGCACUUUGGGAGGCUGAGGCAGGUGGAUCACCUGAGGUUAGGAGUUUGAGACUAGCCUGACCAACAUGGAGAAACCCCGUCUCUACUAAAAAUACAAAAAAAUCAGCCGGGUGUGGUGGUGCAUGCCUGUAAUCUCAGCUACUUGGGAGGCUGGGGCAGGAGAAUCGCUUGAACCCAGGGGGCAGAGGUUGUUGUGAGCUGAGAUCGUGCCAUUGCACUCCAGCCUGGGCAACAAAAGUGAAACUCCGUCUCAAAAAAAAAAAAAAAAAGAACUUUUAUUUUGUGAGCUACUGAAAUGGUGGGGUUUAUUUGUUAUAGCAGCUAGCAUGACUCUAAAUAAUAUACCUUGUAGACAUCAUUGCCCACUAGCUCAGUGUAUCUCAAACUACUUGUAACUAUGGAGAAGGAUCAUUUGUUUGAUGUUUCCAACCUGUCAUGGACCAAUCCUUUUGGUCUCUACCCUGUUCAACAAGAAAAUCCAUUGAUCCUAUACUUGGAUGUCAUGGAUAUGUCAAAUUGCUGUGUUUCUAAACACUUGCUGGCAAUUUCCGUACUUAUCUGGUGGCACACCAUUGCAGACACCAGCUCGGUUGGGGAGACCCUAACCCACUGGUGCUAGAGGAAUUAAACACACACACACAGAAAUAUAGAGGUGUGAAGUGGGAAAUCAGGGGUCUCACAGCCUUCAGAGCUGAGAGCCCCGAACAGAGAUUUACCCACAUAUUUAGUAACAGCAAACCAGUCAUUAGCAUUGUUUCUAUAGAUAUUAAAUUAAAAGUAUCCCUUAUGGGAAACGAAGGGAUGGGCCGAAUUAAAGGAAUAGGUUGGGCUAGUUAACUGCAGCAGGAACACGUCCUUAAGACACACAUCGCUCAUGCUAUUGUUUGUGGCUUAAGAAUGCCUUUAAGUGGUUUUCCACUCUGGGCGGGCCAGGUGUUCCUUGCCCUCAUUCCCGUAAACCCACAACCUUCCAGCUUGGGCGUUAGGGCCAUUAUGAACAUGUCACAGUGCUGUGGAGAUUUUGUUUGUGGCCAGUCUUGGGGUCAGUUUAUGGCCAUAUUUUGGGGGGCUUGCUCCCAACACCAUAAUAGUUGCUGGACCAGUCCUGGCACCACUUUAGCUUCUUAUUCUGUUUUAUUUUUCUCUAUAGCAUUUACCAUUCCCUGUAAUUAUCUUGUUUAUUUUUGGGUAUACUUGUUUAUAGUUUUCUUUCCCACUAGAAUGUAAGCUCCAUCAGAGAAGAAGUUGGCCUUACUUCUCUUGCUCCGUUGUGUUCCUCGUUCCCAAGACAAUGCCUG